UACGAAGGGGGCUAGCGUUGCUCGGAAUCACUGGGUGUAAAGGGUGCGUAGGCGGGGUCUUUUAAGUCAGGGGGUGAAAUCCUGGAGCUCAACUCCAGAACUGCCUUUGAUACUGAAGAUCUUGAGUUCGGGAGAGGUGAGUGGAACUGCGAGUGUAGAGGUGAAAUUCGUAGAUAUUCGCAAGAACACCAGUGGCGAAGGCGGCUCACUGGCCCGGUACUGACGCUGAGGCACGAAAGCGUGGGGGAGCAAACAGG
rnacentral:rRNA from 1 species